UUAAUUUUCUUUCAAGCAUACAUAGAAGUGUGAUGUACCAAUUUUGAAUUUGAAUCUCAACCAUCGUUAAUUGCAUUUACUUCAUGGCUCCACUAAUAACAUUACUGAGCACAAGGCACUUCAGCAGCUCCACCCAAUUCACAUUUGUUCAUUUUCAAGGUUAAGAAGUUAACUUACUCACUUUUCCACAAAUCUUUUCAAUUUUCCACCAAAAAAAUCAACUGAUGCCGAUGUCUUAUCUUCCAUCUUCUCUAAAUACUCAGUCCUAAUAUUCGGGUAACAUCUCUUUCAAUGAACUUAUGCAUUCUUCUUCUUCUUUGAAAGGAUCUUCUUAUGCUCCAUUUCUUUAUCUCUCUCAUGCCCUUUAUUUUGAGAAGAUUUUCAAGUUUUCUCUUUUGCACUGUAAUGGGGUUUUCCAAUUUGGGAUUUCCUCUUUUCUGCAGAGAUCAUCUUCAAUAUCCAAUCCUCUCAAAUUUUUCUUCAAAUUCGAUCUCAAAUCAUUCUCGAGAAGGAAAUAAAAUUCAUCUGCAACUGAAAUCGUUUAUGCAUAACGCGCCAUGAACAAUUUCUUCUGCCAUUCCCUUUUAUGAAUCUCUUAUGUUCUCUCUUAAUUUUCUUUUCUACGACUUCUUUUUGUUACAAACACAACCUUGAAUCAAUUCAUGUUUUUGAAAUUUAUAAUUAGGGUUGUUUUUAUUUCUGUGUGCAGGUUCAAAGUUGGAUUAAAAGGAUGUGUAUUGGCAGCAUAGUGGUUCAUCUCAAGUUGCAGACUAGCCAACAAAUGGAUUUUGAAUGAUUACAGGGCCCUGUUGAUGCUUGCUUGCUUGAUGAAGGAAACCGAAAUGCAUUUGAUCCAUUUGGCUGGGUCCGAGUAAAUUGGAAUGGGGAGUUUUAUAUGUUAUUGGCAGGGAUGAAGAUGGUUUUGUGUCUAAAGUUGUCAGAAGGUGUUGUGAUGGUGACUUAUUUGAAUACUGUGCUAAAAUGAAUGCUGCUAAUAAACAAAAGGCCAAAAUGGGGUGAACUCAAUUCUCAAUUAGUUGUCAUGAAUGAGCCACAAUUGAUGGAAUCCAAAAUGUUCUUAUGCACAUUUAUAUUAAAACUGAAAGCAUUUGUGUUCAAGUUAUGAGGUUUAGAAACUGAUAAAGGAAUCGAUAAGUUUUCUCUCUUACUUACCUUUCUUCUCAUCACUUUUGUAGUUGAUGUUAUGAGACAUUUUGUGUACCACAUUUAUUUCUUUCCAUUCUUAUACAAAUUUUAAGAGUUUUGCAUCUCAUAAGAAUGCAUGCAAUAGAGCUAAUAUCUCUUUGUAUAUAGGUAAACUUUUUAUGAUUUUGCCUUUUUCAUAUAUAUUAACUACUUU